rnacentral:miRNA from 14 species
UGGAACCAGCCUGGUCUACAUAACAACCUCUAGGCCAGUCAGGGAGGCAUAGUGAGAGCUUAUCUCAAAAGCAAAACAGCAGUCUUACUAUGUAGCCCUGGAUGACCUACAACUCCCUA